CCCACUUUUGUACUUUCGCAUUCUUCGUGCUAGCUCUCUAGCUUUCUCUUCUAGCUUUAUUUUUCCCUUUCUUGCUUAGUUCAUACCUUUUUUCUAACUUUCUUAGGAGGCUUUAGCUGCUUCCAUCAUGUACGCUUAGUUCAUUUUGCUUGAUGAAUGAAGCAGGUAGCUCGCUACCUCUUUCUCAAAAAAAACAAAUUAGACUCCAAUAAACUUUAUCAAGUAGCGCAAUUGACAUUUCUUUCGA
rnacentral:lncRNA from 1 species